AACGAACGCUGGCGGCAUGCCUAACACAUGCAAGUCGAACGAGACCUUCGGGUCUAGUGGCGCACGGGUGCGUAACACGUGGGAAUCUGCCCUUUGCUUCGGAAUAACAGUUAGAAAUGACUGCUAAUACCGGAUGAUGUCGAAAGACCAAAGAUUUAUCGGCAAAGGAUGAGCCCGCGUAGGAUUAGGUAGUUGGUGGGGUAAAGGCCUACCAAGCCGACGAUCCUUAGCUGGUCUGAGAGGAUGAUCAGCCACACUGGGACUGAGACACGGCCCAGACUCCUACGGGAAGCAGCAGUGGGGAAUAUUGGACAAUGGGCGAAAGCCUGAUCCAGCAAUGCCGCGUGAGUGAUGAAGGCCUUAGGGUUGUAAAGCUCUUUUACCAGGGAUGAUAAUGACAGUACCUGGAGAAUAAGCGCCGGCUAACUCCGUG
rnacentral:rRNA from 1 species